CUGCCCUUGGGCUCGGUCCCCCCGGUGGACCAAACCAAACUCUUGCGUAACUUUGCAGUCUGAGUGAUUUAUAAAUAAAUCAAAACUUUCAACAACGGAUCUCUUGGUUCUGGCAUCGAUGAAGAACGCAGCGAAAUGCGAUAAGUAAUGUGAAUUGCAGAAUUCAGUGAAUCAUCGAAUCUUUGAACGCACAUUGCGCCCCGUGGUAUUCCGCGGGGCAUGCCUGUUCGAGCGUCAUUACACCACUCAAGCCUCGCUUGGUAUUGGGCGACGCGGUCCGCCGCGCGCCUCAAAUCUCUCGGCUGGGUUCGAUUGUCCCUCAGCGUUGUGGAAACUAUUCGCUAAAGGUGCACUUUCGGGUCACGCCGUUAAACAAACCCCAUUCAAAGGUUGACCUCGGAUCAGGUAGGGAUACCCGCUGAACUUAAGCAUAUCAAUAAGCGGAGGAAAAGAAACCAACAGGGAUUGCCCCAGUAACG
rnacentral:rRNA from 1 species